UACGGAGGGUGCAAGCGUUAUCCGGAUUCACUGGGUUUAAAGGGUGCGUAGGCGGGUAAGUAAGUCCGUGGUGAAAUCUCUGAGCUUAACUCAGAAACUGCCGUGGAUACUAUUUGCCUUGAAUAUUGUGGAGGUGAGCGGAAUAUGUCAUGUAGCGGUGAAAUGCUUAGAUAUGACAUAGAACACCAAUUGCGAAGGCAGCUCAUUACACAAUCAUUGACGCUGAGACGCGAAAGCGUGGGGAGCAAACAGG
rnacentral:rRNA from 1 species